UCUUCAUCCCCAGGCAAGCCACAGUACCCACUUGCAUGAUAGUCAUGCAGUGGCCAUGGUUUUCAACUUGAACCUUUAUUAAAUGUUUGCUUGUUGAAAAGAUGGUUAUCGUUGUUCCGGUGAUGUUUAGAUUUGCAUGUUCACUUUUGUGCUAUGUUGUUUUGUACUCUGUUAUCAUGUUCUACCUGCUAGUAUUGCCUUUCAUAAGUUUAUGCUUGCUAGUAGUACAUGUUGAUGUACUGGUGAUGUUCAUGCUAGUCAGUAUGCCAUGCUUAGUGGAUAUGAUUUAUUGUUGAUAUGGUGGAUAGUUAUGUGAUACCCUCAUGAUUAUGUUGAUAUCAUGUUCAUGCAUUUUAUCAUGGCUCAGCAUAUUUGCGUUCAAGUUAACCGGAUUAAAUUGAACUUGAACAACUGUUGGUUGAGUCAUGGUGCCGCUGAAACGAUGCUGACCAGUGCAACCACACUUACCGGUAUGGGACGAUCCUAACUGGGUCUAUUGUCGUGCCUCUCGCCAGUGCCUCCAACGAGGGAAGGUUAUGGGCGCGCGCAACCCUGAUCAGGUAGGCGGACAUAAGCCUUAUGUGCCCAUUAUUGUUGUUAUGUGCACAUGUCCCUGUUUGGGACGGUUUAUUGUUUUGGCCAUGACGGUGGUCGUUGAGGUGUCUUGAGGUAGACACAGGGCCACCCAUGACUUAGCCCAGUGGGGGGUGAGUCGGAUUGGCCGAGAGAGUGUCAUGGCAGUAGAUCGGUUUUGUCGGAACGCCGUUGGUCCACCCGAAUGGGAGUGCGAGGCCAUGGGUUCCGUAGUGUGGGUAUAGUGUACUAACCUCUGCAGAGUGUAUAUUAAAUCUAUCGAUAGCCGCGCCCGCGGAUAAGGGCCCAGGUCGAAAGUAGGGUACACCAUGAGUCAACAGUAAUAAGAAUAACUUGAUUAAUGACAACCCAUGGUUGUGAUCGCCGUAAGGAUCACUCGCCAUUUAGUGGUCGGGUUGUGAUCGCCGUAAGGAUCACGGGCCAUUUAGUGGUCGAGUUGUGAUCGCCGUAAGGAUCACGGGCCAUUUAUUGGUCGGGUUGUGAUCGCCGUAAGGAUCAUGGGCCAAGUGUUGGUCGGGUUGUGAUCGCCGUAAGGAUCAUGAGGGUAUCGAGGAUACCGAGUCAUUGUAUAUUCGUGAUGUUGUGCGAGAGUCGUGGGUAAAAACCAAGCUCCUUGUGGUCAUUUAAUGAUCGCUAUGGUAUUGUUUAUACCAAGCUUGAUUUGAUCCUGAGAUGAUCGUGUGAUGUUCGAGGUUGGUAAGUGAUGCAUGUGUUGGUUAUGAGGUAACCCGAGCAGAAUAAGUAGUGCAUGAUAGUGUCAUCAUGUUGCAUGCUAGUAUUGUCAGAUUAAUAUGUUCAUGUUGUGUUAGUUGUAUCAUGUUUAUGUUGGUCAUGCCAUGUUUUUUUGAUGAUCUCAUGAUAAUUCCUGUUUAACCUGUAAUUGCCAUGCUGUUGUCUGUCUUGAAUGCUUCUGGUUAUUGUGAGCUUGCAAUUACAUUCAAUGUACUGACCUGGCGUGUAUGCUAGCUUGCAGGUCAUGCCGGAUUUGAUUGCUUGCUUGUCGUGGUUUCCGUUCGUGUGAUCUAGGAUAAGCGUUCCAGCCAGAGUCCCUGCGGAGUGGAGUUUCACCACCAUCGUCGUUGUUCCGCUGCUAGAGUUAUUCCGCUGCUUCGAGUUGUUCUGCUGCUUGCAUAGAGCAACUGAGGAUGGCGUAGUGUCACCGUACUGAUGUUAUUCAUUGUAAUAUCGGAUACCUUGUAUUCAUAUUCGUGUAAUAAUAGAAGGCUGGUUUGUUCUAUUCUAAGCAGUGUCGUAUUCUAGAAGACUUCAUCUCGAUCUCUCGGCUCGAAUACGGGGCGUUCCGGUUUUCUCUGAGCCGGGGUGCCACAGGCUUGGUAUCAGAGCAGGUCUGGCUAUAGGAUGCCCUAGACCGCGUGAAUGUUAGAAAGAGGUAGUAUAGACCCUAGUUUGUUUGUUGCACUUGAUUGAUGCAUUUGUUUGUCGCAUAGCAUGCAUAUAGAUUAUUAUUUAGUCGCUAACGGUUAAUCUUGUGAGUGUAGGUGGUAUCGGUUCUGAUCCACUACCUACGACCUCCUUCUUGUCAUGCCUGCUCUUCGGUGUGAUGCGACCACAUCAUCAUCCAUGCCAUCCAUCUCGUUCUUUUGGCAACCAUUGCUCACCUUUGUUAUCAGAAAAAGGCAAUGCCAUUAGACUCAGUCUUCCACUGUUAUCUUGCCUUGUCAUUUCAUUCUUUGUACGGGUACGAUUCCCUUCAUACGCUUGAUGACGAGGUAGUCGUGACUUUUGUGUCUCGCUCCUUAAUCGUUAAGUCCGUCCUCACCUGUGUAUCCAUCCAGAUCCAGCCACUGUUCAGCCAGUGCUUCGUGUAGCUUUGGUUAUGCCAACACCUUCCACACAUGGAUAUAAUUUUCGUGCACGCCGCCACAGCAUAUUAGACCGCAAUACCGCAGUUUCCACGAGAUUUGUGUGCUUAAGUAUGCAUGCAUAUUAUUUUGUGAGUUGCAGUAAUAUGUGAUGAUUUCUUGAUUAAUUAUCUUAGUAGUAUGCUUGUGUGCUUUUGUUUUAGUUGUUUCUUUUGUUUCUUUCUUUGGGCCUUCGGUGUUACAAAUUUUUCCCGUAUUAAAGUUGCUCGUCAGCCGACACUAAACCCGAAGAGUUAGCCAGAAAUGCAUAUAUUUGGAAACUCAGCUAAACAGAAUGGAAUUACCAGCUGACUGCAGUGAAAUUGGGAAUAUCUUGUCUGGAUGCAAAAGAAAUCCUGGAUGGGCCGUCAGUAUCAAGUUUGCAUUAGCAUGGACUCAUCACAACAAAAUGAUUAAAUCAGCAAAAAGAUAAAUUGUGUGCAAGGUUGGCAGAAGAUUAUCAAAGUAUGGCUCAAAUACAAGUUUAAUUUUUCAUUGAGGAUGAUUUUGGAACUCGAUGUACCUGGAAGCAAGCAGAAAUAUGGCAUAUACUCAGAAAGGAGAAUAGUCCUGCAAAACCCCGUUUCAUGCAAAAAAUCAAGAGCAAAAAUAUUCAUAUGGUUAUAUAUGUGGAAAUCGGUCCGCAUAAGAAGCUUCUGGUGUAAGCAACCCACUUUUCCCUCACAAGAUACUCGAGAAGUUUCCAAGGCAAUAUUCAUCUAUAUUCCUCAGUACGAUACAUGGAUGACUUCUCGUGCAAGGUACUCUGCCUUCUUUAGUAAGAAACCGCAAAAGCUUCCAGCAUAAGGUACUGAGUUUUUCCCCAGCAAAGACUUUAAGGGGGUAAGCUUCUGAAGCACGAUAUUCAGUCUUCUUCAGCAAGCUAUCCGAUGAAAGCUUCAAGCACAAGCCAGUCAACCUUCCUCAGUAAGACAUUGGUACAAGGUAGUACGCUGUGAAUUAACAACAUAUGGCAGUGAAUCCCAAGAAUCAGAUCCGCAACAUUUUGGUUAGAAUCAAGAAUCAGUCAGAAUACACGUCUGUCUCAGAAUCAGGUCCUCAUAUAUAUAUAUAUAUACAAUGAGCAUACCAUCAAGAUCUUACAAGUCAAUCAGAUGAGGAUCUGAUAACCACGUGAGGAUGAUUAAUAGAAGAAAGCAUGUAUACACCGUAGUGUGACAAAGGAUUAUGAGGAUUGACAAGAUCAAUGAGCUCCAUACAAGUACUUGUGAACUGGAAAAUGAUCCUGAUGAGCCCUUGUCCCCUUUUCUCCAAUGGCGGCACCACGCCUGUGAUCUGAGCUGUUUCUAGCUAUCCGGGGUGGAUGCCGAUUUUUGUUUCUCUCUUCAACGACUGUCACGAGUCUGAGCUGCUUUUCGGCCGUCUCGUACAGCUGUUGAGUUUCUUUUUGUGACAGUAGCCCUAUAGCUGCUUUUUGGCUAUUGUAGGGAGCUGCCACAUUCUUCUUAUCGACCCGGUCUCAUGCUCUGAGCUGCUUUUCAGCCGUCCUGAGCCAUGGUUGAGUUAUUUCAGCAAUGUCCCAGAUCUAAGUUGUAAAGACCGUUUUGGUGGCUACUAAUUUAUUUGCCGAUUUCUUGCAAGGAUUUUGGAUGGUCAUUUCCCAACGAUCAGAACUUGAGAGGUGUUGAACCUGCCAUUUAAUGGGUUACCCUGUCAGAAAAAUGAGGAUAAGCUAUGAUUGCCGAAAAAUUGCACCGAUAGUACCUAUGGUCAUACAAAGAAACAAUAUGGCCCAGCUCUUUCAGCCAAAGAUCCAGACCAAGAAAAUAAUAAUCAAGGAGCAAGACCAGUGAUGCAGGUAUGAAAAUUGUAUAUGACCCCCAUGGUGCAGAUCCCCCGGAUAGUCUAAGUCAGUAUUGAUCCACAUGGAUAUGCCUACAGCAUGAGUAAUCGGCAUGAGGAAUAACAGUCUGGAAGCCUGAGUCCUCACUUAUAUGAAUCAUCAUGGAUAGCCUAUUGUGAACAAAAAAUUUCCGUCAGAACAACCGUCAGUCAAGCCUGCAGAUAUUAUCAUACAGGCCAAACCCUUUAUGCUGGCCGCAACAAGAGACAAUUAAAUAUUUGGUACAGAUUCGAUACUCCAGACAGUGGAACCCAUUAAGAUGAUUAAGAAACUUCUGCGAUGAGUCAAAAUCUGUCAGGAAACGGCUAUGUUUUAACUCACUAUUUGGAACCCAUAGGACCUGCAUUUAGUGGAGAAACCCAAUGCAAUGAGUCAGAGCUUGAGUUUCCAUCAGAAAAAUCUGAUCAUCAAUACAUGAAAGGUUGUUAGUGCCGGGUGGCACACCCAGCGGAAAUCACUUUUUGAUUUGUGAGACGGACAUAUAUUUCAGUCGUGAUUAUCAAAUCACACUGAGCUAGUCAGCAGAUCUAAAAAGAAAUUGGAGCCUAUAUAAGCAUGAACAAGCAAGGUAGAUCUAUCAGAAGGAGCAUACAGUGAAUCAAACCACCCCAGGGCCAGUCAGAUAAAAUUUAAUGGGAACAACAAUAAAGGAAAAAGGAUACCCGAGUUAGAAACGGUUUCCUUAAGUCAGAGUAUUCAUACUUGUUCCUUGAGCAACCAAAUCUCGAGGAUGAGAUUUCUUUAAGGGGGUAAGGUUUAUGACAACCUGAUUUUUGGCCCUUUCUUUUUCUUUUGUUUUUCCGAGGUUUUUGCCUGAGUUUUUCUUUUUCCACGGCAUUGUGGCAUGUAAACUGAAGAAGAUGCCCUCUUCUUUGCUUCCAGAGUGGCUUGUCAUUCCCAAAUCCUUCCCUAGACCCUGUGAUUUCCAUCCUAGCCCAAAUCCCAAUAUUCUUUUUAUUGGGAAUAUUCCUUUUCUAUUAAAGGAAUAACUCAGAUUGCCCUAGGUUGUGAAGCAACCUAUAUUUCCAUCACUCCAAAAAUUCCCAAAUAAUUCUCAUAAAUUGUUUGGGUCAUAUAUUGAUCAAAUAUGGCAAAACUUUUCAUUGCCAUGUUCAAAAAUAAUUCCCCAACAUUCCUUUUUCUAUUCUGCCCUGAAUGGCACUUUGUGAAGGAAGUGUCAUUUAUAUUUUCCUAGUGGCUCCCAACCUUUUUGGGCAUGUUUAUAUGUCCAAAAUAAUUGCCUCAUGCAUAAGUUCGAAUUCAUUUGCCUAGCCAAUCUUCCUCAGUGAUUUCUCAAAGUUUCUAUCAAACAGAAAGCUUUGUGAAGGAAGUACUAGCUAGGAGUACCCAAACGAGUUGAACUUUUGCACCCUCCUUAAUGUGCUCAUAUUAACCCCUUCCAGCCAUUUGCAUCCCCAUCCAAUUACCUAUGUGAGCACAGGAGCAAAUCUUUGAUUCUGGCAAUAUUUUUAGGUUGUGAAGCAAGUGCAUUUUAUAUUGCUUCAAAAAUCCUGAUAAAUUACCAGAUCAUUCUUAUACUCAUGAAACAUCUCUCCACCCAAAUCGGCAUCAUUUCAUUGAUCCAUUUGAUCACCAAUAUUAUUUCAAGUUUCUGGUCAGUAGAGAUGUUUGUGAAGCAAGUACUGGCUUUGCCAAAUGGUAUGAUACUUAGUGAGCAUCUUCAUAUGACCAAAUUACUAAGCUUUGCCCAAUAUUAUCCCAAGCUGACACUCCAUGUGAGUGCACCAUCAUGAUCUAGUUUCUGGACCAUUUUGGUCAGUUGUGAAGCAACUGCAGUAAAUAUUGAUCCAUUUACCCUCAAAACCUCCAGGAUGAAAGUCCUUUAAUAUAUAAACCUCCCAGACAAGCUCUUUACUGAGUUACCUAGCUGGUGUCCCCACGGCACAGCACAAACACUUGGCUGCUGGUUUACUUUGGAGCUAAGUGUGAAUCACUUCUUUGCCCCUAGACUGAUUUAUUUCCUUAUUUAGACUAAGGUCACUAGGGUCAAUCCACUGGACAUGGUCGUCCUGGACAAAACGAGCUAUUUGCACCAGUGCGCGUCGUGAUCACACUUGCGUCAUGCAGAUUGCGCGCUCUGGCUUCUUCCCGCCCCUGUUCUCAACGGCUCCCUCCUCGUCUCGACGUCCAACCAUGUCCUGGAGCUUCCCCGUGAUGCCCUGCAUCGCUCUGCGUCAAUGGCUCGUCGUGGUUCGCCAUUAAUGCGUUGCUAGGUCCAUGCCCGUGCCAUGCCCAGCCACUGCCCUCCAUUAAUGCUUGGUCUGGAGCUCGCUCGUGAAGCUCUAAAGCCUUCCUUGCGCCUAUAUAAGAGACCCCCGACCUCCUCCACAGCUCACAGAUCCCUCCCCCGCCUCAUUUGCCCUCGGGAAUCACCGCAUCUCGACGUUGUUCGCCGUCACCCUCCAUGACCGCCUCGGCCUCGGCUUGGGUCCGGCCAUCACAUGCGUCCCCAUGCCUCUCCUCCACGUCCAACGCACUCCCCUCGUCCCACUCAGCCGCCCCACCCCUCGCCCCCUCGUCGGAGUGACUGCUUCGCCGGAGAGCACCACCGCCCGCCCGUCCCGGUCCUCCUCCUGGCGCCGCCUCUUCCCUCCAGCCCUCUCCUCCCCACCGGCCGUGCUCCCUCUGAACGGGACCCCCUCGUCGCCCCGGUCCCGCCGAUGCCCUCGGCUUGGCCAGAGACGGCCGGAGCCGGUCGGCCCUUGGUCGUUUCCCUCCCCUGCCUCUGCUCUGUCUCACGGGAGAACAGGCGAGCGGGAGGAAGGAGACGACCGAGCUUAUCCCCUCCCCCUGCGUGUGGGACCCGCCUGGAAGUGGCUCCACCCACGGGUCCAUGUGGAUAAGUGGAGAGGGGUUUCUCCCGGGUACGCUUUUCUUUUGUGAAAAUAUAUUUUCAUUCUACUUUGGUUCAGAAUACGUUUCCACUUUCAGAAAACAUAUUUAUCCAUAUGCGCUUUCAGUUUUUCCUCCCAGGGACCCGUUGGUGAGGAAAAUAUUCACAGAUUGGUCCCUGAUCUUCUUCACCUUGUAACUUUUAUCCGUAACUCCAAAUGAGGUGAUUCCAAAGCCUACUUCUUCGUUUCGUCAAGCCUGUUAUGUAGGUCAUAUGGUUUAACACUAUGAAAAUGACCAUUAUGCCCUUGCCCUUAUUCACCCCCCUCCGAGAGAGUACGUUUUUCGGCGAUUUGUUCCGCGAGUUUCUCGCACUUUCUCCCGGUGAUUUCUUCAUCCCCAGGCAAGCCACAAUACCCACUAGCAUGAUAGUCAUGCAGUAGCCAUGGUUUUCAACUUGAACCUUUAUUAAAUGUUUGCUUGUUGAAAAUAUGGUUAUCGUUGUUUUGGUGAUGUUUAGAUUUGCAUGUUCACUUUUGUGCUAUGUUAUUUUGUACUCUGUUAUCAUGUUCUACCUACUAGUAUUUCCUUUCAUAAGUUUAUGCUUGCUAGUAGUACAUGUUGAUGUAUUGGUGAUGUUCAUGCUAGUCAGUAUGCCAUGCUUAGUGGAUAUG
rnacentral:lncRNA from 1 species